AGGGAAACCGAGUCUUAACUGGGCGUUAAGUUGCAGGGUAUAGACCCGAAACCCGGUGAUCUAGCCAUGGGCAGGUUGAAGGUUGGGUAACACUAACUGGAGGACCGAACCGACUAAUGUUGAAAAAUUAGCGGAUGACUUGUGGCUGGGGGUGAAAGGCCAAUCAAACCGGGAGAUAGCUGGUUCUCCCCGAAAGCUAUUUAGGUAGCGCCUCGUGAACUCAUCUUCGGGGGUAGAGCACUGUUUCGGCUAGGGGGUCAUCCCGACUUACCAACCCGAUGCAAACUGCGAAUACCGAAGAAUGUUAUCACGGGAGACACACGGCGGGUGCUAACGUCCGUCGUGAAGAGGGAAACAACCCAGACCGCCAGCUAAGGUCCCAAAGUCACAGUUAAGUGGGAAACGAUGUGGGAAGGCUCAGACAGCCAGGAUGUUGGCUUAGAAGCAGCCAUCAUUUAAAGAAAGCGUAAUAGCUCACUGGUCGAGUCGGCCUGCGCGGAAGAUGUAACGGGGCUAAACUGUGCACCGAAGCUGCGGCAGCGACGCUUAUGCGUUGUUGGGUAGGGGAGCGUUCUGUAAGCCUGCGAAGGUGUCCUGUGAGGGAUGCUGGAGGUAUCAGAAGUGCGAAUGCUGACAUAAGUAACGAUAAUGCGGGUGAAAAGCCCGCUCGCCGGAAGACCAA
rnacentral:rRNA from 1 species